GAUGAAACGCUAGCUACAGGCUUAACACAUGCAAGUCGAGGGGCAUCAGUUUGGUUUGCUUGCAAAACCAAAGCUGGCGACCGGCGCACGGGUGAGUAAACACGUAUCCAACCUGCCUCAUACUCGGGGAUAGCCCUUCGAAAGAAAGAUUAAUAUCCGAUAGCAUAUAUUUCCGCAUGGUUUAUAUUAAAGAAAUUCGGUAUGAGAUGGGGAUGCGUCCCAUUAGUUUGUUGGCGGGUAACGGCCACCAAGACUACGAUGGAUAGGGGUUCUGAGAGGAAGGUCCCCACAUUGGAACUGAGACACGGUCCAAACUCCUACGGGAGGCAGCAGUGAGGAAUAUUGGUCAAUGGACGCGAGUC
rnacentral:rRNA from 1 species